UCCGAGCAAACCACUGACUCAUUCCCUUUAUUCUUUUCUUCUAUCACUUAUAACGACUUUCUCUCGUCUUACCAAGUAGCAAUAUAGCCCCCCCCCCACCUCCCCACCCUUGAACAUUGCAACACGUAUAAACGUACAAAAGAUAUAAGCCCGACAAAAUUUUCCCCGCAAAAGAAAAAAUAUAAAACAAAAAUCCACAAUAAUAGUUCAGAGUAAAAUAAUUAUUCCUCAGAGAAUAAUGAAGCUGCGCAUAACUUCCGGUUACACCAGACUUUGCCCAGCCUCCCCUAAUCACCAAGCCCAAAGUCCUGAACCAGUAUAUUUAAAAAUAUCACCAUGGCAACCCCAUUUGAUUCGUGCAUCCAUAAUAUUCUGCAUGGAAGUCCAGCCGCGGCUGUAGCAUUCAAGUGGGUGCUAGACGCCGAUGAUGAGAUCUCCGAUGUCCGUCCGAUGAUGCCAGUAGUAAAGAUCGACGGAUAGAGUCCAGCUGAGUAGAGGUUGCGCAUUAUAGUCGGCCAAGAUAGCGGAAGCGUAUCGUGCCGUGCGGAGUGCGGAAUUACGAGAAGAUCGCGUGCUAAACGAUUCCGCCUCGCCUGAGUACCGCCCGGCAAAACACCACAAAUCGCCGCCAUUAUGUGCCCUCCUAUCACCCUUACUCUCCCUUCUCUCUCUUUCACCCUUUUACCACCCACACCUGUUUCACGAUACUCCUCCACCUCCCCCCCCCCCUCUUUCCUCUUUCUCCCACCUGGUUCAAUUGUUUUACCUUAACCACCUCGGGCCGAUUACCUAACCCUUAUACAUAUAUAUAUAUAUACUUGCACUAUAUAAAAGCCAUAGGGGUAUCGCACUGGUGGAAAUCGAAACGCGUGUAAGACCCAUCCCUUUUGUCCGCAGAACGUAUGUCGGUGCUCAACUAAUGAAAACGAUAUAUCAAUUACGUAUACGACUGGGAGAUUCUUUCCCCUAUCUCUGUCUUUUAUAGUGAGGUUGGGGGGGGGGAGGAGGGACAGCGAGAGAGAUAGAGGAAAAGAUGGAGAGAAAUAAAUAAAAGUCUAGAGGCUUGGAUAGGGGAUGAGAAUCGACAGUGCGCAGGGGGUUGAUUAGCGGACGGUUAUUUCGCCCGGUGGGACAGUCAGGGGAGAAGAUUGCUACUGUGGAGAUAUAUACUGGUGCGAUUGAAGCGACGACGAUUAUUCCGCGUGCGGACAGACCGGAUGUAGCGUCGAAGAUAUAAAUAAUUGACUUGGACACCUGGGAACAGGAGAGGAGAAUGGGUGGGGGUGGGGAGGGGAAUGGAAAAUACUAAAUAAAAUGUUGUCCACUGGCUAUCGGGUCGCAACUACGUCACGUGAAUUUGGAAAAGCGUCGCGACGCGGGCUCGAUUGUAUCGAAAACCCAUUGGCAGGGUUAAACGAUGGUAAUGCUACGUAUAUAACCUAUAAACAGUAGCCGGAUACAUAUUCCCACAUGCAGUAAUACCUCGUUUAACGAUUCCCAUGAAAACGAAAUUCCCUUAAAACGAAUUUCAAGAAAAAUUGCUAAUUUUAACGUUUCCUGCACGAAAAACAAAUCCCUAUUUAUCCUAUGUUAUUUUUAGCUCCGAUAACGAAGUUUGCCAUAGCGAAGUAAUUUUGUCAAAUGCAUCUAUUUCGUUCAUCGAGAUGUCACUGUGUAUGGGUAUCGGUACGACGACGCGGGCAAAUUCAAAUAUAGCAAUUUUUGUAUAUUCCAUUGUUCAGCAAUUUUAAUUUUCCCUUGAAAAAAGAUGUUGAAAAGUGAAAAAAAAAGGGGGUGCAACUUUAAGGGGGAUGAAAGUUGUAAGUUCUAUUUGUAUAUGCAGAAGGUAUAACUAUAUGUAGGUACAAGCCAUUGGGCGUUCACGUACACGGAUAAUCAGAUACUCUACUCCUUUUAUUUGUCUAUCCUUUCUUCAUCGUCUCUCUUUGCAUUCCAGGAUGUAUUGCUACAGCGAAUUCAGUUCACUGAGGUGCAGGAUUCACGGGGUGGGGUGGCAGGGAAAAGAUAGGCGGAACAGGAAGAACCUGCAACGCUCACUUCGUACAUGUUACACGAGAAGUCCAAAAGGAAAUAAAGAAGCAUCUAACUGAAAUCAGGAAUGUGAAGUGGAUGGUAGUUUAAAACGAUUCUUGACUCUUUUCCCAUCUUUUCUUUUAUCCUGGCAAUAGUCGCAUUCCACUCGUUUUCACGAGCUAAACUGUAUAGCCAGUAUAUAUCUUGUAUAUAUAUGCAGAUAUAUAAAUAGUAUACAUAUAUUUAUAUACUAUCCUUAUCUGUAGGUAUUAUGUGUUGGUUUUAGUAGAAGGAUGCAUCAGGUACUAGAUGCAACUUUUUCCUACAUGUAUCCCAUAUAAGAAUAUAUAUAUAUAUAUAUGGUCUAGAACGACGUAGUACAGCAUCCAGAUGUACGGCUGGAUAAUGCUGGAUAGUCAGAGGUUGUUCCGC